UACGAAGGGUGCAAGCGUUAAUCGGAAUUACUGGGCGUAAAGCGUGCGUAGGCGGUGAGUUAAGUCUGUCGUGAAAUCCCCGGGCUCAACCUGGGAAUGGCGAUGGAUACUGGCUCGCUAGAGUGUGAUAGAGGAUGGUGGAAUUCCCGGUGUAGCGGUGAAAUGCGUAGAGAUCGGGGAGGAACAUCAGUGGCGAAGGCGGCCAUCUGGAUCAACACUGACGCUGAGGCACGAAAGCGUGGGGGAGCAAACAGG
rnacentral:rRNA from 1 species